UACGGGGGGGGCAAGCGUUGUUCGGAAUUACUGGGCGUAAAGGGCUCGUAGGCGGCCAACUAAGUCAGACGUGAAAUCCCUCGGCUUAACCGGGGAACUGCAUCUGAUACUGGAUGGCUUGAGAUUGGGAGAGGGAUGCGGAAUUCCAGGUGUAGCGGUGAAAUGCGUAGAUAUCUGGAGGACCACCGGUGGCGAAGGCGGCAGCCUGGACCAAAACUGACACUGAUGAGCGAAAGCCAGGGGAGCAAACGGG
rnacentral:rRNA from 1 species